rnacentral:rRNA from 5 species
CCUGGCGGCACUAGCGCGGUGGUCCCACCUGACCCCAUGCCGAACUCAGAAGUGAAACGUCGUAGCGCCGAUGGUAGUGUGGGGUCUCCCCAUGCGAGAGUAGGGAACUGCCAGGC